UACGGGGGGGGGCAAGCGUUGUUCGGAAUUACUGGGCGUAAAGGGCUCGUAGGCGCCAACUAAGUCAGACGUGAAAUCCCUCGGCUUAACCGGGGAACUGCGUCUGAUACUGGCGAGCUUGAGUGCAGGAGAGGAACGCGGAAUUCCGAGGUGUAGCGGUGAAAUGCGUAGAUAUCUGGAGGAACACCGGUGGCGAAGGCGGCAUCCUGGACCAACACUGACGCUGAGGAGCGAAAGCCAGGG
rnacentral:rRNA from 1 species